UACAGAGGCCUCGAGCGUUAGGCGGAAUCACUGGGCUUAAAGCGUGUGUAGGUGGAUGCCUAAGUACCUUGUGAAAUCCCACGGCUUAACCGUGGAAUGGCUGGGUAUACUGGGUGUCUUGAGCCACUCAGGGGCUACCGGAACAAACGGUGGAGCGGUGAAAUGCGUAGAUAUCGUUUGGAACGCCCAAGGUGAAAACAGGUAGCUGGGGGUGUGCUGACACUGAGACACGAAAGCCAGGGGAGCGAACGGG
rnacentral:rRNA from 1 species